rnacentral:lncRNA from 1 species
CUCCCGCCUGCCCCGUAGCUGCUACCGACGGUGGGGGUUGGAGGGAGCGGGGGUUGGAGGGAGCGGAGGCUUUCUGCCGCCGCACCCCCUCUCCCUUAGCGUCUCAGGUGCUCUGGAGAGCCAGGGCGGGUCCAGCUGCCCCUCUGGGAACUGGGAAGUGGGAGGGAGGUGCCCAAUUUACCCGGAACUUCGGAAAGCACUGCUGGAGAGUUUCUUCCAGCACGCCGCUUCCCACACCCACAAAAAUACCUAGGCGAGCUUGCCUGACUUGAAUCCCCAGGAAAAUGCCUUUUAUUUAGAGAUUAAGUGUGAAAGGCUUUUUCCUUGGGGGUUUGGAGGAGCUCUUUAAGGAGCCCACUAUGAGCUCUAGGAAGAGUUUUUCACAACAGCCACACCCAGCUGGACCGUAAUAUCUCCACUGUGAAUCUGCAUUUCAGAACCUCCUUAGCAUACACUAUUUGGGGCACGUAGGAAAACACACACGCGCAUGCACUUUUGUUUUAAACUUGUGGGGCUGUCUUCCCAGGUUGGAAAUGAUGCUCGUAAAACACACAAAGCUUUCAAAUAGUUCACCGUGGAGCUGCGACAUAACACAAACCAAACGUAAUUUUUUCAUUGAGUAGCGAUAUUGACCUAAAUAUAAGCUUUUAAAAUGUGUCAAUUACGGGCUGGGCGCGGUGGCUCACGCCUGUAAUCCCAGCACUUUGGGAGGCCGAGGCGGGCGGAUCACGAGAUCAAGAGAUCGAGACCACCCUGGCCAACAUGGUGAAACCCCGUCUCUACUAAAAAUACAAAAAUUAGCUGGGCGUGGUGGCGUGCGCCUAUAGUAGUCCCAGCUACUCGGGAGGCAGAGGCAGGAGAACCGCUUGAACCCGGGAGGUGGAGGUUGCAGUGAGCCGAGAUCACGCCACUGUACUCCAGGCUGGUGACAGCGAGAGUCUGUCUCAAAAAAAAAAAAGUGUCAAUUACCUAAAAUUGCUUUUCCAUUGCCUUCCGUAGGCUACUAGGCAUUUGAGAGAUAAUUUGUUGCUCCCCAG